rnacentral:rRNA from 1 species
AAUGGCGAUUAUAGCGUAGGUGAUCACCUCUUCCCAUCCCGAACAGAGAAGUUAAGCCCUACAGCGCCAAUGGUACUAGGUCAAACCUGGGAGAGUAGGUCGUCGCCAACC